AUUGAACGCUGGCGGCAGGCCUAACACAUGCAAGUCGAGCGAGCGGCGGACGGGUGAGUAAUGUCUGGGAAACUGCCCGAUAGAGGGGGAUAAAUACUGGAAACGGUAGCUAAAAACGCAUAUCAUCGGAUGUGCUCAGAUGGGAUUAGCUAGUAGGUGGGGUAACGGCUCACCUAGGCGACGAUCCCUAGCUGGUCUGAGAGGAUGACCAGCCACACUGGAACUGAGACACGGUCCAGACUCCUACGUGAGGCAGCAGUGGGGAAUAUUCCACAAUGGGCGCAAGCCUGAUGCAGCCAUGCCGCGUGUAUGAAGAAGGCCUUCGGGUUGUAAAGUACUUUCAGCGGGGAGGCGUUACCAACAGAAUAAGCACCGGCUAACUUCGUGCCAGCAGCCGCGGUAAUAC
rnacentral:rRNA from 1 species